UACGUAGGGAGCAAGCGUUGUCCGGAAUCAUUGGGCGUAAAGCGCGCGUAGGUGGCUUCGUAAGUCCGUUGUGAAAGUCAAAGGCUCAACCUUUGAAAGCCGAUGGAUACUGCGGAGCUAGAGUACGGAAGAGGCGAGUGGAAUUCCUGGUGUAGCGGUGGAAUGCGCAGACAUCAGGAGGAACACCAAUAGCGAAGGCAGCUCGCUGGGACGUUACUGACACUGAGGCGCGAAAGCGUGGGGAGCGAACAGG
rnacentral:rRNA from 1 species